AUGGUUUCGGCCGACGCAGCUCGCAACGUCGUCGGCAUCAUGGGCAAUUGCAUCUCCUUUUGCCUCUUCCUCUCCCCUGCGCAGACAUUUGACCGGAUUUGCAAGAACAAGGACGUGGAGCAGUUCACGCCGGACCCCUACCUGGCGACGCUCAUGAACUGCCUGCUCUGGUUCUUCUACGGCCUCCCAAUCGUCCACCCGAACAGCCUCCUCGUCAUCACCAUCAACAGCAUCGGCAUCAUCAUCGAGACAAUCUACCUCUCCAUCUUCUUCCUCUACUCGCCCCCAAAGAAGCGGCUAAAGAUACUUCUCGUUGUUGGCUUUGAGGUGGCGUUCGUGGCGUCCGUGGUGGUCGGAGUGCUCCUCAGCGCCCACACCUACGAGGACCGCUCCAGGAUCGUCGGCAUCAUCUGCAUCGUCUUCGGCACGAUUAUGUAUGCCGCCCCGCUCACAGUCAUGGGGAAAGUUAUCAAGACAAAGAGCGUGGAGUAUAUGCCAUUCACCGUGUCUCUGGUGAACACUAUCAACGGCUGCUGCUGGCUAGCCUAUGGGCUGAUAGGGAACGACCCCUAUGUGACGAUCCCUAAUGCCAUCGGUACAGUUUUGUGCAUCUUCCAGCUGAUCCUUUACGUGUGCUACUACAAGUCGACCCCCGUCAAGGAGCAGAAUGUCGAGUUGCCCGCCGCCGCCACAGAGAACUAA
rnacentral:rRNA from 1 species